UACGUAGGGUCCGAGCGUUGUCCGGAAUUACUGGGCGUAAAGAGCUCGUAGGUGGUUUGUCGCGUUGUUCGUGAAAACUCACAGCUCAACUGUGGGCGUGCGGGCGAUACGGGCAGACUGGAGUACUGCAGGGGAGACUGGAAUUCCUGGUGUAGCGGUGAAAUGCGCAGAUAUCAGGAGGAACACCGGUGGCGAAGGCGGGACUCUGGGCCGAUACUGACGCUGGAGGAAGCGAAAGCGUGGGGAGCAAACAGG
rnacentral:rRNA from 1 species